GGUAACGCUGGCGGCGUGUCUUAGCCAUGCAAGUCGAGCGGACUUAUGGGGUAACUUAUAAGUCAGCGGCGGACGGCGGAGUAACACGUAGCUAACCUACCCUCUGGACGGGGAUAACCUACCGAAAGGUGGGCUAAUACCCGAUGUAGUCAUCCUGUAUAGGGGUGAUGAAAGGUGGGCUUCUGUUUACAAGCUCAUGCUGGAGGAGGGGGCUGCGGCCUAUCAGGUAGUUGGUAGGGUAAUAGCCUACCAAGCCGAUGAUGGGUAGCCGGCCUGAGAGGGUGACCGGCCCGAGGGGCACUGAGAUACGGGUCCCACUCCUACGGGAGGCAGCAGGCUAGAAAUUUGGGCAAUGGGGGAAACCCUGACCCAGUGACGCCGCGUGCAGGAAGGAGCCCUUCGGGGUGUAAACUGCUGUCGUGUAGGGAGAAGGGUACUAAGGUGAACAAUCUUAGUACUUGACGGUACUACAGGAGGAAGCCCAGGCUAACCUCGUG
rnacentral:rRNA from 1 species